rnacentral:rRNA from 1 species
GAUGAACGCUGGCGGCGUGCCUAAUACAUGCAAGUCGAGCGAACAGACGAGGAGCUUGCUCCUCUGACGUUAGCGGCGGACGGGUGAGUAACACGUGGAUAACCUACCUAUAAGACUGGGAUAACUUCGGGAAACCGGAGCUAAUACCGGAUAAUAUAUUGAACCGCAUGGUUCAAUAGUGAAAGACGGUUUUGCUGUCACUUAUAGAUGGAUCCGCGCUGCAUUAGCUAGUUGGUAAGGUAACGGCUUACCAAGGCAACGGUGCAUAGCCGACCUGAGAGGGUGAUCGGCCACACUGGAACUGAGACACGGGCCAGACUCCUACGGGAGGCAGCGGUAGGGAAUCUUCCGCAAUGGGCGAAAGCCUGACGGAGCAACGCCGCGGGAGUGAUGAAGGUCUUCGGAUCGUAAAACUCUGUUAUUAGGGAAGAACAUAUGUGUAAGUAACUGUGCACGUCUUGACGGUACCGAAUCAGAAAGCCACGGCUAACUACGUG